AUUCGACUCCGUUUUUAAAUUUAAAAGCAUUGAAUUUGCUAUAGAUCUGGAUAAUAUUAACUUUUUCCAGUGUAAGCAUGUGGUCUGAGUCUACGGUGCGGUCUCAUAUCUUCGGAAUCUCCAUUUCGUUUUAAAUUAAAACCGAAACCGAACUCGCGCGGAGGCGCACAGUCAGAAAUAGUGGAAUCAAUGGGGAGGGACGGAGGAAACGGAAUACAAAAGACCCCAGCAGACGAGACAAUGGCCAAAAGCAAGAUGGCCCAUAAAGGGGCUACAAAUAAGAUAAAUUGCAUCUUUGGGAUCAAACGCACAGGUAGAGAGGCCCCGACUUGGAUACAUAAAAAUAUGCACAUGAUGGCCGACUUCAGAACAAAAUGCGGGAGAUUCUCGGCUCGAAUUGCAAGUUACUCCGAUGAGAGAGCCCAGUAAUCCGAGCAGAUCCCACCUAUGCGUGGAAUUUGGUGUGACUCUAUCUCUAAACUGAAAUCAACCUUCUAUUGAUUCGGGUGAAAGAGCUAUCCGACCACUAUGCAUAUGCAUACCUCUGAUAUCGACUUCAUCGGCUCAUAGAAACUGGGC
ensembl:ncRNA lncRNA:TS16 long noncoding RNA: testis-specific 16